UAUAAUUUUGAAUAUUUUUUACUUAGUUCAUGAAAUCUGUUUGUAUUUUUUGUAACCAUUCCCAUUACUGAUAUAAUUUUUUUAUCUAUUUUUUUUAUUUAAUUUGUAUUACAGGAGAAUUUGUAAUGUCUCUUGGUUCUUCGGUCGUAGAAUGGUGAAGCUAUGUCAAAGGAAAUAAUUGAACUAAUUCUGAUUAUGCUUUUAUGAGAUCAUCCAAAUAAUUGAAGAUUGUAGUGAUGGAUGCAUUUGGUAAUUCUCGAAGGCAUUUGGAAGUAUUGUUCUUUUUUUUUUAAACUCUACGGACGUAAAAGGAAGUGCAAGACUUCAUAUUGCUUUUCCUAUUUAGUUCUAUAAUACUCCAUUACAACUCA